AUUUUCUCCUCGAAUUCUAUGCGUGGUCUCAUGAUGGUAAUUUCUACAGUGACCCAAGAGGAUUGGCAUCACAUGGUUUUGAAAUUCUGAGAGACAGAAGAGAAGGCAUCUGUUCUGGAUCAGUACCUCUCCUUGGUGCCAUCAACUGAGCCAUCCUGUUCUUAUCUGCUCUCCUAUUGCGAGUCCCCACAAGUGCCCCUUGUUGCUCACAAGGCCCGUCAGAUCCACUGGCUCUUGGAUGCUCCUGGCUACAUGAUGGGAAACCCGAGGCCCAGUGAAAUCUGAGAAACCCUGUAGAAAUUUUGCUGGCAGAUUUUAUUUUUAAGUACACC